rnacentral:rRNA from 2 species
AUGCAAAGAACUUUGAAAAGAGAGUUAAAGAGUACCUGAAAUUGCUGAAACGGAAGCGAAGGAAACCAGUGUUUGUUGGUUCAUAUUUCCCUAGCCACUUGUGGUUUGGGCGCUGUGAACUUGCGUGAGUUUGGGUUGGUUGAAUCUUUUGGAAGAGCGCAGACAGAGUUGAUGUUUGUUGCUAGCACUGGAUUUGACUGAUGCAGACGAAAUGGUUUUCUUUACCCCGUCUUGAAACACGGACCAAGGAGUCUAACAUAUGUGCGAGUACAGGGGUGUCAAACCCCGGUGCGUAAUGAAAGUGACAGUGGUUGGAUAUUUUGCACAAUCCGCCGGCCUCAAUCCUUCGGGAGAACGGUCUGAGUGUGAGCAUACAUGUUGGGACCCGAAAGAUGGUGAACUAUGCCUGAAUAGGGUGAAGCCAGGGGAAACUCUGGUGGAGGCUCGUAGCGAUUCUGACGUGCAAAUCGAUCGUCAAAUUUGGGUAUAGGGGCGAAAGACUAAUCGAACCAUCUAGUAGCUGGUUCCCUCCGAAAUUUCCCUCAGGAUAGCUGCAAUCGGUUGUUUAAUUUUAUCA